rnacentral:rRNA from 1 species
GAUGAACGCUGGCGGCAUGCCUAAUACAUGCAAGUCGAACGAGAGGAAGGAAAGCUUGCUUUCCUGAAUCUAGUGGCGAACGGGUGAGUAACACGUAGGUAACCUGCCCAUGUGCCCGGGAUAACUUCUGGAAACGGAUGCUAAAACCGGAUAGGUAGCAGACAAGCAUUUGACUGCUAUUAAAGUGGCCUUGGCCAUGAACAUGGAUGGACCUGCGGUGCAUUAGCUAGUUGGUGAGGUAACGGCCCACCAAGGCGACGAUGCAUAGCCGGCCUGGGAGGGCGGACGGCCACAUUGGGACUGCGACACGGCCCAAACUCCUACGGGAGGCAGCAGUAGGGAAUUUUCGUCAAUGGGGGGAACCCUGAACGAGCAAUGCCGCGUGAGUGAGGAAGGUCUUCGGAUCGUAAAGCUCUGUUGUAAGAGAAAAACGGCACUCAUAGGGAAUGAUGAGUGAGUGAUGGUAUCUUACCAGAAAGUCACGGCUAACUACGUGCCAGCCGCCGCCGUAAUAC